CUACGGGAGGCGGCAGUGGGGAAUAUUGGACAAUGGGCGCAAGCCUGAUCCAGCCAUGCCGCGUGAGUGACGAAGGCCUUAGGGUUGUAAAGCUCUUUCGGCGGGGAAGAUAAUGACGGUACCCGCAGAAGAAGCCCCGGCUAACUCUGUGCCAGCAGCCGCGGUAAUACAGAGGGGGCAAGCGUUGUUCGGAAUCACUGGGCGUAAAGCGCACGUAGGUGGAUAGUUAAGUUCGGGGUGAAAUCCCAGGGCUCAACCCUGGAACUGCCUCGGAUACUGGCUAUCUCGAGUCCGGAAGAGGUGAGUGGAAUUCCUAGUGUAGAGGUGAAAUUCGUAGAUAUUAGGAAGAACACCGGUGGCGAAGGCGGCUCACUGGUCCGGUACUGACACUGAGGUGCGAAAGCGUGGGGAGCAAACAGGAUUAGAAACCCCAGUAGUCC
rnacentral:rRNA from 1 species